CAGCCGCCGCGGUAAUACGUAGGUCCCGAGCGUUGUCCGGAUUUAUUGGGCGUAAAGCGAGCGCAGGCGGUUAGAUAAGUCUGAAGUUAAAGGCUGUGGCUUAACCAUAGUACGCUUUGGAAACUGUUUAACUUGAGUGCAAGAGGGGAGAGUGGAAUUCCAUGUGUAGCGGUGAAAUGCGUAGAUAUAUGGAGGAACACCGGUGGCGAAAGCGGCUCUCUGGCUUGUAACUGACGCUGAGGCUCGAAAGCGUGGGGCGCAAACAGGAUUAGAUACCCGUGUAGUCCCUGUCUCUUAUACA
rnacentral:rRNA from 1 species